UACGUAGGGCGCGAGCGUUGUCCGGAUUUAUUGGGCGUAAAGAGCUCGUAGGCGGCUUGUCGCGUCGAAUGUGAAAACCCGCAGCUCAACUGUGGGCUUGCAGCUGAUACGGGCAGGCUUGAGUUCGGUAGGGGAGACUGGAAUUCCUGGUGUAGCGGUGAAAUGCGCAGAUAUCAGGAGGAACACCGGUGGCGAAGGCGGGUCUCUGGGCCGAUACUGACGCUGAGGAGCGAAAGCGUGGGGGAGCGAACAGG
rnacentral:rRNA from 1 species